UUUUAAUUUUAAUUUCUCUUUUCGCUUCGUUUCAACGGUCGAGGAUUUUGCGAAACCGUAGCUGAGAGAAGAGCAGCAAUUCUGGUCUCUGGUCUCCUCUUCUAUUCUUCUGUGAGCUUCACUUCGAUUUCCUCCACUUCUCUGCAAGCAUAGAUAUCCGGUGCCGAAUCUAUCGCCGCUGAAAGCCUGGGGCUUAUCCAAGCCGAGAGUGAAAGAGAUGGGGAGGGGAUUGUGUUAUUGGUGUGAUGAGAAGAGUGGAAUCUGCUUUCAUGCGAUAGAACCUCAAAAGACAAGAAUACCUCUUUCUCACAAAGUUUAUGUGAGAUAUGCUUGAGUUGAAAACAGAAGCGUGUUGUCUGGAGAAUAAGCAAUCCACUGCUGCUUCUUGCUCCUCUGUUUCCGAAGGCAGUGGCAGCCCAAUUAACAAGUCCACAGAGAUGUGUGGCCCUACAUCUACAUCGCCCUCACACCGGAGGAUCACUGGCCCUAUAAGGCGUGCAAAGGGAGGUUGGACGGCAGAAGAGGAUGAGACAUUAAGGAAUGCUGUUGCAACUUACAAGGGCAAGAAUUGGAAGAAAAUAGCUGAGUAUUUUCCUGAUAGAACAGAAGUUCAAUGCCUUCACAGAUGGCAAAAAGUUCUCAAUCCAGAACUUGUUAAAGGACCUUGGACAUUGGAGGAGGAUGAUAAAAUUGUUGAACUGGUCUCAAAAUUUGGGCCUACAAAAUGGUCUCUUAUAGCCAGGUCUUUGCCUGGUCGAAUAGGGAAACAGUGCCGAGAGCGAUGGCACAAUCAUCUUAAUCCUGACAUAAAGAAAGAUGCCUGGACUUUGGACGAGGAAUUGGCCCUGAUAAAUGCUCAUCAUACCCAUGGGAACAAAUGGGCUGAAAUAGCCAAGGUUCUUCCUGGAAGAACUGAUAAUGCAAUAAAGAACCAUUGGAAUAGUUCUUUGAAGAAAAAGUUGGAUUUUUAUUUAGCUACAGGAAGACUUCCACCAGUGCCAAAGAACAAUGCACAAGUUGCUGUCAAAGAUACAAUUAGACUUUCUACUUCUAAAACAAUUCCUGUUUGUUCAAGUAAAGAAUUAAAUUUAGCUGUUGAAACACCAUUUGAACCUACAACUGUUAGUAUGCUAGAUGAGAGUGGCAUGAAUCAGUCAUCCUCAGGGACAGUUAGAGAUGUUCGUGAUUCUUCAAGUGUUCCUGCGAAUGAAUCUGCUGAUUCUGACGGUGUAGAAUGCAAACCUGGAUCAUCCAACAUAGAUCUCGCCUGGAGCAACUCAAAGCCUGUGUCAAUAGUUAAUUUCAGAAUAACUUGUGGGACAAAUUUUGAGAAUUCUGGACUAAGUGUAAACUCAAAAUUUGAGCGGUGUGUAGACAAUUGUGAAAUGAGCUGCAGCAGCAGGUCUAUCAGAACUUCUUUCUCCCAAGAAAGUCCUACCUGUGGUUCUUUGUGUUAUGAGCCGCCACAGUUAAGUGGUUCAGUUCCUUUAGAUUCUCUUUCUUUAAGCCUGCAGAAUGAAUACUGCUCUAAUCCGAUGUUGUCGCCUAUCGAUUACUUCACUCCAGCUAGUGUGAAGGGUAGUGAAUUAUGCAGCGAGACACCUGAAUCAUUUUUGAAAAAAGCUGCUGAUACUUUUCCAAACACUCCUUCCAUAUUGAGGAGACGGAACAGAGUCGAAACACAAACCCCUCCUUGUAAACUUUUGAAGGUAGAAAAUCAUUCUUGUACUUCUAAUGAAUCAGAGAGAACCAAGGAUAAUUCUGGAUCUGAGGUUGGGAGGUUCUCUGAGAGUCCAGCAAGCCAUGACAAUGAGAGUGACCUUCCCAAGGCUUACAAUGCAUCUCCACCAUACCAGUUGAGAUCCAAGCGAACAGCAGUUCUCAAGUCCGUGGAGAAACAACUAGAAUUUGCAUUUGAGGAAAAAAAAUGAAAGCAAUUUCAACUGAAUGAAAAUACCUGCAAAGAGUAGCAAUCUGAUUAUGAAGAAACAACAUAGCAAAUAAUUUAAUUGAUUUAGGUACUUUAUUGAUUUUGGCUGGUUCUUCCAAAUGGUUUGAUAACGUUCGCGUAUUUCGGGAAGACAGUUGGAUAGUUGGUUUUUCAUUUUCAUCACACGUGAACAGAAUUCAGCAGCUGUAGGAUCCGGUAUGUAUAGAAUAAGGCUUGCUGUAUAUACCAGUUUUGUACGGUUUAGGAACAAUAAAUCUUUAAGUAGCGUCGGUGUUUCCUUGGGUAUUUUUUCUUAAACUUUUUCCAGCCUGACUUACAAAUCAAUAAAAAUGCAACUACCAUUCGGAGGCA